AGACCUGCUGCUCCCGGAUCUCACUCAAAAGACAGCAGGAGACCGUGAGCAUCAGUGUUCAGUUACAGCAGGACCUCAAGGACAGAGGUCAGACGGAGAGGAAAUUCCAAUCAAUCAGUACAGUGGACGAAGACUAACCAUGGGACGCACCGAGACUUUCCCAGUGGGCUACUCAACUUCAGUGCCACUGUCAUGACUAUAUUUAGAUACGUCCCAUCCACCUUCCCACUCCUGCUAAACCCCACCUACUGUUUGCCUUUCCAAAACCAGCAGAGCUCAGCAUCCCUGUGGCUGUGUUCAUAUUGUAAGCUGUACUGCUAUUUUAUGCUCUGCCAAUUCUAGGCAGUUCAUAAGACAUCUGCAUGCUGUUCAAAAGUUAUCAUUGAUUUCAAUGUGACUCUUCUGUCUUUUUUUUUUUUUUUGGUCCUUUAUGGCUCAAGAAUUCGGAGUCAGGACAAAAUGCUAGCAGUGUACCAAUAAAUGUGACUUCCCAUCAUUUACCCA
ensembl:lncRNA